rnacentral:rRNA from 1 species
CCUACGGGGCGCAGCAGUGGGGAAUAUUGCACAAUGGGCGCAAGCCUGAUGCAGCCAUGCCGCGUGUGUGAAGAAGGCCUUCGGGUUGUAAAGCACUUUCAGCGGGGAGGAAGGCGGUGAGGUUAAUAACCUCAUCGAUUGACGUUACCCGCAGAAGAAGCACCGGCUAACUCCGUGCCAGCAGCCGCGGUAAUACGGAGGGUGCAAGCGUUAAUCGGAAUUACUGGGCGUAAAGCGCACGCAGGCGGUCUGUCAAGUCGGAUGUGAAAUCCCCGGGCUCAACCUGGGAACUGCAUUCGAAACUGGCAGGCUAGAGGCUUGUAGAGGGGGGUAGAAUUCCAGGUGUAGCGGUGAAAUGCGUAGAGAUCUGGAGGAACACCGGUGGCGAAGGCGGCCCCCUGGACAAAGACUGACGCUCAGGUGCGAAAGCGUGGGGAGCAAACAGGAUUAGAUACCCCUGAGUC